rnacentral:rRNA from 1 species
GGGGAAUAUUGCACAAUGGGGGAAACCCUGAUGCAGCGACGCCGCGUGGAGGAAGAAGGUCUUCGGAUUGUAAACUCCUGUUGUUGAGGAAGAUAAUGACGGUACUCAACAAGGAAGUGACGGCUAACUACGUGCCAGCAGCCGCGGUAAUACGUAUGGGGCAAGCGUUAUCCGGAUUUACUGGGUGUAAAGGGAGCGUAGGCGGCAUGGCAAGUCAGAAGUGAAAGCCUGGGGCUCAACCCCGGAACUGCUUUUGAAACUGUAAGGCUAGAGUGCAGGAGGGGUGAGUGGAAUUCCUAGUGUAGCGGUGAAAUGCGUAGAGAUUGGGAGGAACACCAGUGGCGAAGGCGACUAACUGGACUGUAACUGACGCUGAGGCGCGAAAGUGUGGGGAGCAAACAGGAUUAGAUACCCUGGUAGUCCACACUGUAAACGAUGAAUGCUAGGUGUAGGGGGUAUCGACCCCUUCUGUGCCGCAGUCAACACAAUAAGCAUUCCGCCUGGGGAGUACGGCCGCAAGGUUGAAACUCAAAGGAAUUGACGGGGGCCCGCACAAGCAGCGGAGCAUGUGGUUUAAUUCGACGCAACGCGAAGAACCUUACCAGGUCUUGACAUCCACUUAAACUUACAGAGAUGUAAGGUGUGCUUGCACAAAGUGAGACAGGUGGUGCAUGGUUGUCGUCAGCUCGUGUCGUGAGAUGUUGGGUUAAGUCCCGCAACGAGCGCAACCCUUAUCUUCAGUUACUAACGCGUGAGGGUGAGGACUCUGAAGAGACUGCCGGGGACAACUCGGAGGAAGGUGGGGACGACGUCAAAUCAUCAUGCCCCUUAUGACCUGGGCUACACACGUGCUACAAUGGCCACGACAGAGAGAAGCGAAAUCGUAAGGUAGAGCGGAACUCAAAAAAGUGGUCCCAGUUCGGAUUGUGGGCUGCAACCCGCCCACAUGAAGUCGGAGUUGCUAGUAAUCGCGGAUCAGCAUGCCGCGGUGAAUACGUUCCCG